UGAGACCACUGGGCAUGCGCGGCGCUGACGGAAAGGUUGGCUGUGUGUUAGAAGCAGUUCUCCGCUGGACACGACAAGGUGAAGGCGAGUCUUCCGCUGCUACGUGCUUCCAGCUGGCCCACGCUAGGACGCCUUCCCCUGCCCUAUGUUACUCAGGCUGCCACACGCCAGCCACUACAGUCUGAUCCUGCCACCACUUGAGGAGACGCGGCGAUGCUGAUUUUCCUUGUGCAGCGAACUGUACGUACACUGGACGGCCUCGUUCCACUGGAGGAAGAAAGUGUUGUGUGACGUCACCGUAACAUCCAGAGCCACGGCACACCGGACGCCUCUUUGCGCCUCACGCGUCAAAUAUCGGUUAUUAAACUUCUGUUUUUUUUUUCAAAAUUCCACUUUAAUAGCCGGGGACUGCUCGAUUCUGCGUUAAAAAGCCUGGUAUGCAAAUGUGUUCGCUGAAGAAAUGCUAUUCCUGCCCACGCCAGAAAAUGCAGAAAAAAAAAAAAAAAAUACAUGUCUGACUGCUGAAAAUGUGCCCUGGCCGAGAUAAAUGUCACGCCGCUCACUGACGGCGCGUUACUGACAACCCGCAACCAAAUAAUACAAGGGACAGACUCGGAGGGUAAGCACCAAAAGGAAGAACAAAUAAAUAGAUAAAUAGAGAGAUAAAUAAAUAAACACGGAAACAAAGAGGAGCUGGAGGAGUCGAGAGUCAUUGGUCGUUUGUAAUCUACCUUAUUUUGUUGUCGCUGUCUCCCUCUGGCAUCGUCACGGCAGCUUCUUUCCCUUCCCUCCAACACGAGACACAAAACAAACAUGUACACCGAGAGAGAGAGAGAGAGAGAGAGAGAGAGAGAGAGAGAGAGAGAGAGAGAGAGAGAGAGAGAGAGAGAGAGAGAGAGAGAGAGAGAGAGAGAGAGAGAGAGAGAGAGAGUGCCAAUAUGUGUUGGCAUAGAGGCGUGCUGAGACGCCAUUAGGUCAAGUGGCAGUGUAAACAUAACGGGCGGGGUGAGUGCUCGUUAGACCUUUGUGGCCCUGCUUGCCUCGCCUCGCCCCGCCUUUCACCCUCUACAGCCUUACACCUGCCGCCUUGCCAUCGCCACACACACACACACACACACACACACACACUUCCUCUGCACCAUCUCCUUUUCUUCGUCCUCAUAUUCCUCUUCGUUCUCGUCGCCAUCCUGCUUCUUGUGUUCAUCAUCCUCUUUUCCUUCAUCGCUCUUUUUGUCCAGGAACACUUUCUCCUCCUGCUUUCUUCUUCUUCCUUUUUCUUCCUCCUCCUCGCCCUGUUCGACAACACAGUUCUCAUGCAGUUUUCCACUUCUCUUUGUGUUGCUGUUUUCUUCCUUUCUUUCCUAGUUUCCAGCGCAUUUUGUUUUUAUCUAUUCUUGCUCUAAACCACCGUCAUUAUCUGCAUUUCUUUGAUCUGCUUCGUUCUUUUUCUUGUUUUGGUUCUGUCUCUGUCUAUCUAUGCAAAUUCUGCAGUGUUCUCUCUUUCUCUCCUCUGAAAGAAACUUGGCAUAAUAAAAUUUUCCACUAAGUCUCGACUAGUUGCUAAACUUGAUGCAAUUCUUUUCGGAAUAAUUUUUUACACACCGAAACCUUUUCAGCAAUAUUCAACUUCCUUAAUGUUUUAUUCUACUUAUCUUAUUUUAAACACUUUAAUUAUUCUUUUCUUUUACCUUCUUGUGUUGAGCACGAAGCUUGCGGUCUGUGCAACCUUUUGUCCCUCCACCUGCAGUCUUCACGCGUCUCACACACUGACGCACUGAAAGGAAAUGCCCCCCAAGCAAUAGUUUUUCAAUUCCUUGUGUAGUGGUAAUUGCUUCCGUGUCAAGGAUAUUAUGACUGAAGACUGAAAGCCGCGUCUUACUUCCAAGCUAGCACUGAUGAAUGGUCCCACACUAUAAGAAGAGCGAAGUAUCACACUCUUAUCACUCUUGUCUCUACUUAAUUCAGCAUUACACGGCCUCAUCGCAUCUGUCAGGCAUCGUAAGUAAGAUGUCACAGUUUAUCAUACUGAACGUUUUUUCUGCUACGGUUGUCACUCUGCCAUUAAAGUUACGUACAUUUUCA